GACGAACGCUGGCGGCGUGCUUAACACAUGCAAGUCGAACGGCAAGGCCCUGCUUUCGUGGGGUGCUCGAGUGGCGAACGGGUGAGUAACACGUGAGUAACCUGCCCUUGACUUUGGGAUAACUUCAGGAAACUGGGGCUACUACCGGAUAGGAGCUCCUGCUGCAUGGUGGGGGUUGGAAAGUUUCGGCGGUUGGGGAUGGACGCGCGGCUGAUCGGUUAGUUGGUGGGGUAGUGGCUUACCAAGGCUUUGGCGGGUAGCCGGCCUGGGAGGGUGACCGGUCAGAUUGGGCCUGAGAUACGGCGCAGAGUCGUACGGGGGACAACAGUGGAAAGUAUGACACACUGAGCGGGAGCCGGAUGCAGCAACGCCGCGUGCGGGAUGACGGCAUUCGGGUUGUAAAGCGCUUUAGGCUGUGACGAAGCGUGAGUGACGGUAAUGGGUAAAGAAGCACCGGCUAACUACGUG
rnacentral:rRNA from 1 species